rnacentral:rRNA from 1 species
GAUGAACGCUAGCGGCAGGCUUAACACAUGCAAGUCGAGGGGUAUAUAGUUUUCGGAUUAUAGAGACCGGCAAACGGGUGCGGAACACGUACGCAAUCUGCCUCUGUCUUGGGGAUAGCCCAUAGAAAUGUGGAUUAAUACCCAAUAGUAUUAUAGAGUGGCAUCACUUAGUAAUUAAAGAUUUAUUGGACAGAGAUGAGCGUGCGUCCCAUUAGCUAGUUGGUGCGGUAACGGCGUACCAAGGCGACGAUGGGUAGCUGGUGUGAGAGCACGACCAGCCACACGGGCACUGAGACACGGGCCCGACUCCUACGGGAGGCAGCAGUGAGGAAUAUUGGUCAAUGGGCGGAAGCCUGAACCAGUCAUGCCGCGUGAAGGAUGAAGGCGUUCUGCGUUGUAAACUUCUUUAUUUGGGAAGAAAUUGUGGUUUCUACUGCAACCGACGGUACCAGAUGAAUAAGCACCGGCUAACUCCGUGCCAGCAGCCGCGGUAAU